CCUGACCAGAGAUAACAUGGUGAAAAGGAAAUGGCAGGGCGAUCCCACUUGUGUCUUCUGUGAUCAGAUAGAAACGGUUGAUCACCUAUUCUUCCAAUCCCUAGUGUCGAGAUGUGUCUGGGGUAUGGUCUCCACAAGGACGAGCUCCAGGGGAAGCUGCUGGAAGGAGUCAAGACCCUGCUUGCGUGUGCUCACCGAGUGCUGGCGCAGCAGGCCAGGAUGACGACGCCAAGGCUACUCCCAGCUCCGCCAGUCGAGGAGGAGGAUGACGAUUGAAGGCGGUGUUCGGGCGUUUGCUAGGCGUGUGGAUGGUUUGGUCGCUCUUCUUGCUUGUGCUUCGUAUGGGUCGGUUGGAUUUUAAGAGGAUGGUUUAUUCUUUUUGCAUAGCGUGUCUUUCUCUGCCUAGGAAUCAUGGUGUCAGAGUCUAUGCUACUGAACUUUCUAGCUUGAAAGUCAGGUUAGAAGGUUAAGCUCUCCCCUCUUUUUUCUCUCUGCCUGUGCAUCUUCCUCCUGGGCUCCUUCCCCCUCGUGGGAUUGGGAUGUGAACAUGUAAUUCCGUUUCGUCUGGAAUGGAAUUGGGGAUGAGCCUCGUUU